UGAGCUUGCUUUAUAUCCUAGGAUUGAUUGAUUGAAAGACAACUGGAUAUAGCUUUGCAAAAGACUCCUUGGAGAUUGUUCGAGUAGAAGAUGAUUGACACCAAAACAAGGCAGGUUGAUGACAUGGAGUGGAUUGUCUGCAAAUUCUUCAGGAGCGUAAACUUGCAAGGAGAGAAGGAUGCGCACGAGAGAGGCAAUCUUCCCCCCUUCUUGAGAAUCUGAAAAAUAUUUCCAUCGUUGUAUGGUUUGUUGGUUGAUAUGCAAUUAGUCUAAUUGGGGUUCGACCAAAAAAUACAUGGUCCAUAAUAUAUAUAUGAAUGAAUAGAUCAAUUUACAGGUUUGGAUAGUAAUGAAAAUAAUAUAAUUAUAAGAGUGAAUGGAAAAGAAAAAUCGUAGGAGAAAAGAGUAAGUGAUUCGGUGUAACAAGUAGGUUUUUAAUAACAUAGAACUACACUGAGGUGUAAUACUUAAUCUCUAUUAGAUUAAUCAAAUAGAUAAGAUUCUUUUAAAUUAGUAUAAUGCGUGAAUACUAAAUGUAAAGGUUCGGGAUUCCUGAAAGAGCCGAGAGAGAGAGAGAGAAAAAAAAAACUGAAAAUUAAAAUCUGAAAU